UAUGAAGAACGUAGCGAAAUGCGAUACUUGGUGUGAAUUGCAGAAUCCCGUGAACCAUCGAGUCUUUGAACGCAAGUUGCGCCCGAAGCCAUCAGGUUGAGGGCACGUCUGCCUGGGCGUCACAUAUCGUUGCCCAAUGCCUAUUGCAGUGCAAUAGGAAUUUCUAGGGCGAAUGAUGGCUUCCCGUGAGCGUUGUUGCCUCGCGGUUGGUUGAAAAUCGAGUCCUUGGUAGGGUGUGCCAUGGUAGAUGGUGGUCGAGUUAGAACGAUACCGAUCAUGUGCAUGCUCCCCAAAAUAUGGCCUCUAUGACCCACACGCGUCUUUUGACGCUCAUGACGAGACCUCAGGUCAGGCGGGGCUACCCGCUGAAUUUAAGCAUAUCAAUAAGCGGAGGA
rnacentral:misc_RNA from 1 species